UACGUAGGGUGCGAGCGUUAAUCGGAAUUACUGGGCGUAAAGCGUGCGCAGGCGGUUAUUUAAGUCAGGUGUGAAAGCCCUGGGCUUAACCUAGGAAUUGCGCUUGAGACUGGAUAGCUUGGAGUGCGGCAGAGGGAGGUGGAAUUCCACGUGUAGCGGUGAAAUGCGUAGAGAUGUGGAGGAACACCGAUGGCGAAGGCAGCCUCCUGGGCCAACACUGACGCUCAUGCACGAAAGCGUGGGGAGCAAACAGG
rnacentral:rRNA from 1 species